rnacentral:rRNA from 1 species
CAAAGGUGAGCCAGUACAGGAUGGACCCGCGUCUGAUUAGCUAGUUGGUAAGGUAACGGCUUACCAAGGCGACGAUCAGUAGCCGACCUGAGAGGGUGAUCGGCCACAUUGGAACUGAGACACGGUCCAAACUCCUACGGGAGGCAGCAGUGGGGAAUAUUGCACAAUGGGCGAAAGCCUGAUGCAGCAACGCCGCGUGAGUGAUGAAGGCCUUCGGGUCGUAAAACUCUGUCCUCAAGGAAGAUAAUGACGGUACUUGAGGAGGAAGCCCCGGCUAACUACGUGCCAGCAGCCGCGGUAAUACGUAGGGGGCUAGCGUUAUCCGGAUUUACUGGGCGUAAAGGGUGCGUAGGCGGUCUUUCAAGUCAGGAGUGAAAGGCUACGGCUCAACCGUAGUAAGCUCUUGAAACUGGGAGACUUGAGUGCAGGAGAGGAGAGUGGAAUUCCUAGUGUAGCGGUGAAAUGCGUAGAUAUUAGGAGGAACACCAGUUGCGAAGGCGGCUCUCUGGACUGUAACUGACGCUGAGGCACGAAAGCGUGGGGAGCAAACAGGAUUAGAUACCCUGGUAGUCCACGCUGUAAAC